GCUGGGUGUGGUGGUGCAUACCUGUAAUCCCAGCUACUCGGGAGGCUGAGGCAGGAGGAUCUCUUGAACCCAGGAGUUGGAGGUUGCAGUGAGCUGAGAUCAUCCCACGCACUCCAGCAUGGGCAACAAGAGUGAAAUUCCAUCUCAAUAAAAAUUAAAUUAAAAUUAAAAAAUUGUAUUUUUAGUAGAGACAGGGCUGGAGUGCAAUGGUGUGAUCUCGGUUCACUGCAACCUCUGCCACCUCCCAGGUUCAAGCUGUUCUCCUGCCUCA
rnacentral:sRNA from 1 species